ensembl:lncRNA
CAUUUCUAUACGUUUCCUUCAGUUCCGCAAGCUUUGCCACUUGCAAAUCUAGAAUGUGGAAGUGCCCACAUGUGACGGCAAUCUGUCAGCUUAGAUGACACCUCGGAAGAAUUUUUCGGGCUUUCUGAAGGACUCUCCGGGGCAUUGACAGUCUCUGCAGUGUUUUUGGCCUCAGAGGAAAACACCUCCUCCUCCAGAAGAUCUUCCUUGAUUUCUCUUCCUAGAUUGUGCUGAGUGCCGCUCCAUGGUGCCUCUAUUAUCAGAAGUGUGCAGCAUCUCUCUACGGUGGCCUCUCUGAUCCAUAUCUGUCUUCUCAAUGCUAACCACAUGGAGUUUGGAACCAGAAGAAAUAGACAGUCUUUCCUCCUGUGUCCUCAGAGAACUGCUGCCAGGCACCAGGCUGGGACCUCGGCCCCUCGCUCUAUGGUCAGCGACGGAUUCUUGCCCUGUCUUCUUAUGGGAAGUCCUUCUGCCACAUCCAGUCUCUGUGCUGUUAACCGCAGAUUCCAACAGAGUGCAGGGGAUCUGAAACAGGUCAACCUAGGUCAGCCUUCAUUUGGCCCCAGGAGUGAUCCUGGGUUGGGGCUGAGAGGCCCACCAUGGUAUCUGUUACAAGGUUAAGAAAUAAAAAGGGGCUGGGGAUUUAGCUCAGUGGACAAGGUUAAGAAAUAAAAAGGGGCUGGGGAUUUAGCUCAGUGGUAGAGCGCUUACCUAGGAAGCGCAAAGCCCUGGGUUCGGUCCCCAGCUCAAAAAAUAAAUAAAUAAAUAAAGGAAAUAAAAAAAGUUGUUUCCUCUGUCUUUCCUCUUCCUCCUCCUCUCUCCCCUGUUUUCUCUCCCCACAGCAUGUUAGAUGAGCCCUCUACUAGCUGAAUUGUGUCCCCAGUUCUAAAUCGUUGUUCUUUAACAUUAGGGGAAAAAAAGAGGCAAAAAUAUGAAACGUCUAAAUUUGUUGUUUCCAUUUCUGUUUUUAUACAGUGUCUCAUUGUGUAACC